AUUGAACGCUGGCGGCAGGCUUAACACAUGCAAGUCGAGCGAGCGGCGGACGGGUGAGUAAUGUCUGGGAAACUGCCAGAUGGAGGGGGAUAAAUACGGGAAACGGUAGCUAAUACCGCAUACCAUCAGAUGUGCCCAGAUGGGAUUAGCUAGUAGGUGGGGUAAUGGCUCACCUAGGCGACGAACCCUAGCUGGUCCGAGAGGAUGACCGUCCACACUGGAACUGAGGCACUGUCCAGACUCCUACGGGAGGCAUCAGUGGUGAAUAUUGCACAAUGGGCGCCAGCCUGAUGCAGCCAUGCCACGUGUGUAGAGAAGGCCUUCGGGUUGUAAAGCACUUUCCGCGAGGAGGCGUUACUCGCAGAAGAAGCACCGGCUGACUCCAUGCCAGCAGCCGCGGUAAUUC
rnacentral:rRNA from 1 species